AUUGAACGCUGGCGGCAGGCCUAACACAUGCAAGUCGAACGAGUGGCGGACGGGUGAGUAAUGUCCGGGAAACUGCCCGAUGGAGGGGGAUAACUAAUGGAAACGGUAGAUAAUACCGCAUACCACACGAUGUGCCCAGAUGUGAUUAGCUAGUAGGUGGGGGAACGGCUCACCUCGGCGGCGAUCCCUAGAUGGGCUGAGAGGAUGACCAGCCAAACUGGAACUGAGACACGGUCCAGACUCCUACGGGAGGCAGCAGUGGGGAAUAUUGCACAAUGGGGGCAAGCCUGAUGCAGCCAUGCCGCGUGGAUGAAGAAGGCCUUCGGGUUGUAAAGUACUUUCAGCGGGGAGGCGUUACCCGCAGAAGAAGCACCGGCUAACUCCGUGCCAGCAGCCGCGGUAAUUC
rnacentral:rRNA from 1 species